CUUCCUGUUUCCAAACCAUGCGUCACCAUGUGGAGUCAGCAGCAAAGGGAGGCAGCGCUGUGACGGGACGUGAAGCCCGGUGGAUGGAAAAGACGCUCAGUUUCACGGCCGUUUCUCCAUCGCUGGUCUGUUCCACCUGCUGCCUUCCAGUCCGUACUUAACUACUGAAACUCAACCAUAGAAGUAUCUGAGAGGGUUCCUGGUAUCGUGUUUGGUCAUUAGAUAUGGAAGAACCUGGGACAAAGACACGUAUGGGACAAAGACACGUAUGGGACAAAGACACGUAUGGGACAAAGACACAUAUGGGACAAAGACACGUAUAGGACACGUGCUGCCCUGUUAUUGAGAGCGAACACUUCCCUCCGUCCUGACAUUAUAGAUCAGUGAUUGUUUAUAUUUGUUAGUGAAUAUACAAAGUUUUCCAGUUUGUUCUUCCAGAGAUGGAAGUGCGUGUGCGUGUGCACGUGUGUGUGUGUGUGUGUGUGUGUGUGUGUGUGUGUGCAGGUGACAGCUCCAACAGUUCACCGUCAUUGACCCGUGAAAAAAUGUGCCAUGAUUAACUGGCAACUACAUUAAAAAUCGGACAAUGUGGCCUUUCUCCUGCAGCCUGUGUGUGUGUGUGUGUGUGUGUGUGUGUGUGUGUGUUUCUUUAACUCACUUAUCACUCGGUGUUAUGGUUUGAUUUUGCUGUAAUUAGUUUGAACUCAGCUGUACUUGCAGAAGAGGGAGAGACUUCCAGACAUCUUUUAUAUGCU